rnacentral:rRNA from 1 species
UACGUAGGGGGCAAGCGUUGUUCGGAUUUACUGGGCGUAAAGGGCGCGUAGGCGGCGCGUAAAGUCGGACAUGAAAUCAUUGGGCUUAACCCAAUGGCUGUGCUCGAUACUUGCGUGCUUAGAGUGCGGGGGAGGCAAUCGGAAUUCUCGGUGUAGCGGUGAAAUGCGUAGAUAUCGAGAGGAACUCCAGUGACGAAGGUGGGUUGCUGGACCGACACUGACGCUGAGGAGCGAAAGCUAGGGGAGCAAACGGG